CAUAGUGACAUCAUCAAAUGCUGGUAAGGAUGUGGAGAAACUGAGUUAUUUAUACAUGCUAGUACUAAUGUAAAAUGGUACAGCCUGUCUGGAAAUCAUUUGGUGGUUUCUUAAAAAUGUAAAUAUGCAACUGUCACAUGACCUACCAAUUGCAUUCCUGUUGCUUAUCCCAGAGGCAUGAAAACUUGUAUUCACACAAAAACCUGUACAUGAAUGUUCAUAUCACUUUUAUUCAUACUACUUAAAAAUGAUAAAUAGUCCAGAUUUCCCUCAAUAGGUGAAUGGUUAAACUCACUGUGGUACGUACAUACCGUGGAAUACUAUUCAGCAAUUAAAAGGCCUAGACUGUUGACAUGUACAAAAACUUGAAUGGAUAUGGAAGCAAUUAUGCUGAGUGAAAAAAAAUCUAAUCCCAAAGUUUACAUACUGUAUAAUUCUAUGUAUAGAACACUUUUGAAGUGACAAAAUUUUAGAAAUGGAAACCACAUUAGUGGUUGCCAGGGGUUAGGGAUGGGGAGAUGGGUAGGACGUAGGUGGGAGUGGUUAUAAAAAGGUGACACAAGGGAUCCUUGUGGAAAUGGAACCGUUCUGUAUCUUGACUGUGGUGGUGGAUACACAAAACUACACAUGUGAUAAAACUAUACAGAACUGAGUGCACUCACAAGUGUACACACCAGUAUAAAAAUUUGAAUAAGAUCAGUGGAUUCUGUCAAUGUCAGUAUUCAUUUAUUCAGUAAGCUCUUGAUUAUGUCCUUUCACUGUUUGGAAGAAAGAGCCUUCUGCUUUCUAGAUCUUAACCUCAUUUUAAUACCUUUUUUGUCUCUAUCUAGUUAUCUAUUUUUUGACAGUUAUAUACAUUAUUUUAAAAGUACUGGGUUAGAGUGGAAAGCACAUGUAUGAUUCAGAUCCUGGCUCAGCCACUUAUUGUUUGUAAAUUUUUUGGCAAGUGUUACUUAAUCUUUUUUGAGAAGAAGAUUAAAAACAUCAUAGGAUUGUUGUAAGAUUAAAUGGAAUCAUUUAUGAAAAGUUCUUGAAACAUGGUAGGUGCUUAAUAGAAGGAAUAAUUCAAAAUUGUCUUCUAGUGAACGUUUUAAAUUCCUCCCUUUUUUCUAACUAAUAUUCAGUGUUGUCUUGGAUUCUCUUUCUAAAGUAAAGCAGAUUCAUGGUGGAUUCAUUUGCUUCCUCUUCUCUCCAGAAAGGUUAAAAUAUAAUUGUUCCACCACAAAUAUUACAUCAUAAUUUACUUGGUUAUCUCUGGUAAGAGCUAAGCACUUUCGAUUUUGAAUUCAUAUUAGUCUUUGCAGGUGAACUUGGUAAGAAGGUCAUUUUCAGGCAUUUCCCAGAACUCGUUGUCUUCUUUUAAUAAACAUCAGCAUAUCUUCAAGUAUUACUUCCCGUGAAAGAUAAAUUACGCAUGUGAACAGUUAUCUUUUGCUGCUUUUGUCAGAGACGUGACACAGGACUGGGUGUAUCUUUUGGCUGAUCAAACGCAUUCCAAAUAUUCUCAAGGUCUUAUGGAACUUUCCUCUCCUCCUAAUCCACCACUCCCAACCACUCUAAUGGCUGCUGCAUGCUUUUUCAGUGCUUCAGGCACCACUGUUCCCUCUUCCAGCAGACUAGAAGAGCAUCAAAGAGUGAUUCAUUAGGUAUCCUAGGUAAAUCAGUAAUAACAAAAAGGAAUGUCCGCUGAAAUAUUGUCUGAGUAAUUUUUCUUGAGUCUUUUCAUACUUCCCCCUCUCCACUAGGCUUUAGAACUUCUGGAAGGAAAUUUAACUUUCUCCAUGCAUUUUUGUUUUGUUCGUUUUUUAAUUUCAUUCUGUUGUUGGCAGUCCAAACUCAUAACUGAAGUCACAACUUUUCCUAAUUAGGUAGCUCUUCUCAGUAAUGGCUUUCCUUCACCCCAGUCCAGAUUCCACUGGAUCUAACACUCGGCUUUAUCGUGUUCAAGAUCUGCUUUGAGUGUUGCUGAGCCUGCCCGCUCUGAACCAAAGUGCUUUUUUCCCCCAUCUUUUGUUUGCCUUGUUACUCAGAAACGAAUUAUUUACAUUUCUAGAUAGGAAUUUCCCACUUCUACUGUGCAAAGAAAGAUUAGGGUUACACUUCUAAGUAUCCUCAGAGUUCCACAGGCUACUUGCCCCUGGCUUUGGACCUUCGUUCUAGAACUGAGGUUUCAAGUGCCUUUUGACUCAACUGAGUCUGAGCCCUAAUUCUGCCCUCUUCUGCUCAGCUUCUUCCUAACUCAGAGCUCAGUUUCCACCUGACUUUCCCCCAGAGUUUUGCUGUUACACGGCUGAACUCCAGUUUGGCAGGUGCUGCUGCUGGUUCACUCUCCGGUUUCCAGAUAUUUCCAGCUCUGUGCUUAAAACCAGAAAUAACAAAUGGAAAGCUGUCUGUGGAGAAGGAUCAGUAUGUCAACCCUGAACCUGUCACCACCCAGUGUGACCUGGGUUAUAGGAUGAUUGGCUCCCAGAGUAUCUCUUGCUCAGGGAAAAAGUCUUGGAAUCCAGAUGUGCCCAAGUGCAAGAGGGACCUCUAGGACCAGUUGAACUGACCCCAUCUUAUCAACAAAGUACUUACAAGUGCCUUUUCAGGAACUGAGAAUCCUGCUUUGUCCAGUUCAGGCCUGUUGUGACUACCAACCCAUCAACUGGGCCUGGGCAAAUGCUCCAUAAAUGACCUUUAUGAUAUCAAGGGGCUGAAGACUUGACCCUCAGAUCACACUAAAACCAACAUUUUGUGAACAUGCAUCCUAUGAAGAGGCAUGAAGCUUGGCUACACUGGCACAGAUCAUCUAUUACUUUACUUGUCCUUACCUCCCAUCAUCUACCUCCAUACUUCAGACUGCUCUGCCCUUCAUCCCACAUAUUGUGCCCCAAGCCCUGGAUUGGAGAGACAGAUCUGAGAGCAUAUGCCUCCUGUCUCCUUGCAGAUCAAUCUAACAA